GAUGAAGAACGCAGCGAAAUGCGAUAAGUAAUGUGAAUUGCAGAAUUCAGUGAAUCAUCGAAUCUUUGAACGCACAUUGCGCCCCUUGGUAUUCCGAGGGGCAUGCCUGUUCGAGCGUCAUUAUAACCCCUCAAGCUCAGCUUGGUGUUGGGGCCUGCUGCACUGGCAGCCCUUAAAAUCAGUGGCGGCGCCAUCUGGCUCUAAGCGUAGUAAUUCUUCUCGCUAUGGAGUCCUGGUGGAUGCUUGCCAUCAACCCCCAAUUUUUCUAUGGUUGACCUCAUCAGGUAGGGAUACCCGCUGAACUUAAGCAUAUCAAUAAGCGGAGGA
rnacentral:misc_RNA from 1 species